rnacentral:rRNA from 1 species
CCUACGGGGGGCUGCAGUAGGGAAUCUUCCGCAAUGGACGAAAGUCUGACGGAGCAACGCCGCGUGAGUGAAGAAGGUUUUCGGAUCGUAAAACUCUGUUGUCAGAGAAGAACAAGUUGGAGAGUAACUGCUCCAGCCUUGACGGUAUCUGACCAGAACGCCACGGCUAACUACGUGCCAGCAGCCGCGGUAAUACGUAGGUGACUUGUGUUGUCCGGAUUUAUUGGGCGCGGUGCGAGAACUCUGGGGUGAAAGCCCACGGCUCAACCGGGGAAGGUCAUUGGAAACUGGGGAACUUGAGUGCAGAAGAGGAGAGUGGAAUUCCAUGUGUAGCGGUGAAAUGCGUAGAUAUAUGGAGGAACACCAGUGGCGAAGGCGACUCUCUGGUCUGUAACUGACGCUGAGGCUCGAAAGCGUGGGGAGCAAACAGGAUUAGAUACCCCGGUAGUC